UACGUAGGGUGCAAGCGUUGUCCGGAAUUAUUGGGCGUAAAGAGCUCGUAGGCGGCUUGUCACGUCGGAUGUGAAAGCCCGAGGCUUAACCUCGGGUCUGCAUUCGAUACGGGCUAGCUAGAGUGUGGUAGGGGAGAUCGGAAUUCCUGGUGUAGCGGUGAAAUGCGCAGAUAUCAGGAGGAACACCGGUGGCGAAGGCGGAUCUCUGGGCCAUUACUGACGCUGAGGAGCGAAAAGCGUGGGGAGCGAACAGG
rnacentral:rRNA from 1 species